ACAAGACGGUGGAGUAUGUGGUUUAAUUCGAUGCAACGCGAAGAACCUUACCUGGUCUUGACAUCCCGGAGACCCUUAGGAAACUAGGGGGUGCUUCCAUCUGGAAGAAUCUGGAGACAGGUGCUGCAUGGCUGUCGUCAGCUCGUGUCGUGAGAUGUUGGGUUAAGUCCCGCAACGAGCGCAACCCUUGCCUUUAGUUGCCAGCAGUUCGGCUGGGCACUCUAAAGGGACUGCCGGUGUUAAACCGGAGGAAGGUGGGGAUGACGUCAAGUCCUCAUGGCCUUUAUGACCAGGGCUACACACGUACUACAAUGGCCGAUACAAAGGGCAGCGACACUGCGAGGUGAAGCCAAUCCCGUAAAAUCGGUCUCAGUCCGGAUUGGAGUCUGCAACUCGACUCCAUGAAGUUGGAAUCGCUAGUAAUCGUGGAUCAGCAUGCCACGGUGAAUACGUUCCCGGGCCUU
rnacentral:rRNA from 1 species